rnacentral:rRNA from 1 species
UACGAAGGGUGCAAGCGUUACUCGGAAUUACUGGGCGUAAAGCGUGCGUAGGUGGUUUGUUAAGUCUGAUGUGAAAGCCCUGGGCUCAACCUGGGAAUUGCAUUGGAUACUGGCAGGCUAGAGUGCGGUAGAGGGUAGUGGAAUUCCCGGUGUAGCAGUGAAAUGCGUAGAGAUUGGGAAGAACAUCCGUGGCGAAAGCGCUCUGCUGGACUGCAACUGACAUUGAGGGACGAAAGCUAGGGGAGCGAAUGGG